UACAGAGGUCUCGAGCGUUGUUCGGAUUCAUUGGGCGUAAAGGGUGCGUAGGCGGUAGGCUAAGUUUGGUGUGAAAUCCUGGGGCUCAACCCCAGAAUUGCACUGAAUACUGGUUUGCUAGAGGACUGGAGAGGAGAUUGGAAUUCACGGUGUAGCAGUGAAAUGCGUAGAUAUCGUGAGGAAGACCAGUGGCGAAGGCGAAUCUCUGGACAGAUCCUGACGCUGAGGCACGAAGGCUAGGGGAGCAAACGGG
rnacentral:rRNA from 1 species